CCUACAUGCGCGAGCAUUGCUUUUAUUAUGAACUUCAGAGCUGCGCUUGGAGAGAGCCAUAGGACGCGCUACCAACAUCAGGCUAAUGGAACGUGAAGUAUGGACUUUUUGACCGAAAAUACAUCUGUUGUGGACCUGGGAUGCUUUCUGAUGAAGACAACUAAAGGACCUGAGCCCUAGGACCAUGCCUCAGGACUACCUGACAUGAUGACUCCUUGCUGUCCCCAGUCCACCUGGCCGUGUUGCUGCUCCAGUUUCAACUGUUCUGCCUGCGGCUAUGGAACCCUGACCUGUUCACCAGACGUGCUACGUGUCCCAGACCUGCUGUUUUCAACUCUCUAGAGACAGCAGGAGCGGUAGAGAUACUCUCAAUGAUCGGCUAUGAAAAGCCAACUGACAUUUACUCUUGAGGUGCUGAUUUGUUACACCCUCGACAACUACUGUGAUUAUUAUUAUUUGACCAUGCUGGUCAUUUAUGAACAUUUGAACAUCUUGGCCAUGUUCUGUUAUAAUCUCCACCCGGCACAGCCAGAAGAGAACUGGCCACCCCUCAUAGCCUGGUUCCUCUCUAGGUUUCUUCCUAGGUUUUGACCUUUCUAGGGAGUUUUUCCUAGCCACCGUGCUUCUACACCUGCAUUGCUUACUGUUUGGGGUUUUAGGCUGGGUUUCUGUACAGCACUUUGAGGUAUCAGCUGAUGUAAGUCGCUCUGGAUAAGAGCGUCUGCUAAAUGACUUAAAUGUAAAUGUAAAUGUAAAUGUAAGAAGGGCUAUAUAAAUAAAUUUGAUCUGAUUUGAUUUUAAUUAAAUGAGGAUUAGCAUUUUGCAACCAGGAGCAAACAUUUAUUGGGAACAGAAAUAUUUAAAGUGGAUGCUAUGAAAUUCAAUUUGACAUAUGGUAUGGCCACUCCUCCCCAUUUCUGUAAUCUGUCACAUUUAAAAUACAUUAGAUAUAAUUAUAUAGCCUGAUAUACAGCACCCCCUUUUGCCCUCAGAACAGCCUCACAAGGUGUCGAAAGCGUUCCACAGGGAUGUUGGCCCAUAUUGACUCCAAUGCGUCCCACAGUGUAAAGUUGGCUGGAAGUCCUUUUGGUGGUGGACCAUUUUUGAUACACACGGGAAACUGUUUAACGUAAAAAACAGUGCAAUAGUUGUUGACACACUCAAACCAGUGCGCCUGGCACCUACUACCAUACGCUGUUCAAAGGCACUUAAAAAUGUUGUCUUGCCCAUUCAUACUCUGAAUGGCGCACAUACACAAUACAUGUCUUAAUUGUCUCAAGGCUAAAAACGAUUCCCUGUCUCAUCUACACUGAUUGCAGUGGAUUUAAAAAGUGAUAUCAUUAAGGGAUCAUAGCUUUCAUCUGGAUUCACCUGGUCCAGUCUAUGUCAUGAAAGAGCAGGUGUUCCUAAUGUUUUGUACACUCAGUGUACAUUAUAUGGACGGACUUCAGAUAAGGCCUAUCUGUAAAAGGUGGUCAGGGGCAAUGGUCGGAUAAAUCAGUGGCAUAGCCAAGAAUUCGUUGGUGGGUGGGCCUGCAGAAACUUGGGAGGGGGAAAGCGACUAACUUCCAGAUAUUUUACAGAUUUUACCGGGGGCAAAGAGAAAAAUUUGCAAUUUUAUAGCUAAUCUCAUGCUAUUUUUACAAUUUUUGCCAUGAUGCUGAGAGAAAAUGUUACUGUUUUAAAGCAAAUUUCCUGCAAUUCUACAUAUUUUGCCAUGGGCAGAGAGAUAAAUGUGCAGUUUUAUAGCUUAUCGCAUGCUAUUCUACUGUCAUGCCCUGAUAUGAUUCACCAGUCCUUGUGCUUGCCUCCAUCCCCCUCCAGGUGUCGCUCAUCUUCCCCAUUAUCCCCUGGGUACUUAUACAUGUGUUCUCUGUUUGUCUGUUGCCAGUUCGUCUUGUUCGUCAAGUUAACCAAUGUUUUGUCUCAGCUUCUGCUUUUCCCCAGUCUCUCGUUUUCUCGCCCUCCUGGUUUUGACCCUUGUCUUUAACCCUUUUGACCCUUUGCCCCUACUCUGGAUUACCGACCUCUGCCUGACCUGACCCUGAGCCUGCCUGCCAUCCUGUACCCUUGCCCCACUACUCUGGAUGAUCGACCUCUGCCUGUCUUGACCUGUUGUUUGCCUGCCCCUGUUGCUGUGAUAAACAUUGUUACUUCAACGCAGUCUGCAUUUUGGUCUUACCUGAAACGUGAUAUCUGAGAGAAAAUGCUGCAUUUUUAAAGUGAAUUAAAGCUCAAAUAUAGGUGUGUUGACUGUGAUAAAG
rnacentral:lncRNA from 1 species